UACGGGGGGGGCAAGCGUUGUUCGGAAUUACUGGGCGUAAAGGGCUCGUAGGUGGCCAACUAAGUCAGACGUGAAAUCCCUCAGCUUAACUGGGGAACUGCGUCUGAUACUGGAUGGCUUGAGUUUGGGAGAGGGAUGCGGAAUUCCAGGUGUAGCGGUGAAAUGCGCAGAUAUCAGGAGGAACACCGGUGGCGAAGGCGGGUCUCUGGGCAACAACUGACGCUGAGGAGCGAAAGCGUGGGGAGCGAACAGG
rnacentral:rRNA from 1 species